GGCAGUGCUAGCUCAGUGAUUAAUGUGUUGGUCUACUGCUCAGAAGGUUGUGAGUUCAAACCCCAGCACUGUCA